GGAGGGUACAGCUCAGUGGUAGAGUGUGUGCUUAGCAUGCAUGAAGUCCUGGGUUCCAUCCCCUGCACCUCUG
rnacentral:tRNA from 1 species